GCAUAUCAAUAAGCGGAGGAAAAGAAACCAACAGGGAUUGCCCUAGUAACGGCGAGUGAAGCGGCAACAGCUCAAAUUUGAAAUCUGGCGCAAGCCCGAGUUGUAAUUUGUAGAGGAUGCUUCUGGGCAGCGGCCGGUCUAAGUUCCUUGGAACAGGACGUCAUAGAGGGUGAGAAUCCCGUAUGCGACCGGCUUGCACCCGUCACGUAGCUCCUUCGACGAGUCGAGUUGUUUGGGAAUGCAGCUCUAAAUGGGAGGUAAAUUUCUUCUAAGGCUAAAUACCGGCCAGAGACCGAUAGCGCACAAGUAGAGUGAUCGAAAGAUGAAAAGCACUUUGGAAAGAGAGUUAAAAAGCACGUGAAAUUGUUGAAAGGGAAGCUCACGCAGCCAGACUUGUCGGCGGUGUUCCGCCGGUCUUCUGACCGGUCUAUUCGCCGCCGGCAGGCCAGCAUCACUUGGGAGCGCCGGAUAAAGGCGUGCGGAAUGUAGCCCCUCGGGGCAUUAUAGCCGCGCGCACAAUACGGCGCCUCCCGAGUGAGGUCCGCGCUUCGGCUAGGAUGCUGGCGUAAUGGUUGCUUGAGGCCCGUCUUGAAACACGGACCAAGGAGUCUAACAUCUAUGCGAGUGUUCGGGUGUCAAACCCCUACGCGGAAUGAAAGUGAACGGAGGUGGGAACCGCAAGGUGCACCAUCGACCGAUCCUGAUGUCUUCGGAUGGAUUUGAGUAAGAGCAUAGCUGUUGGGACCCGAAAGAUGGUGAACUAUGCCUGAAUAGGGUGAAGCCAGAGGAAACUCUGGUGGAGGCUCGCAGCGGUUCUGACGUGCAAAUCGAUCGUCAAAUUUGGGUAUAGGGGCGAAAGACUAAUCGAACCAUCUAGUAGCUGGUCUGCG
rnacentral:rRNA from 1 species